UCUAGCCUACGGGACGCAGCAGUGGGGAAUAUUGGGCAAUGGGCGCAAGCCUGACCCAGCAACGCCGCGUGAAGGAAGAAGGCUUUCGGGUUGUAAACUUCUUUUCUCAGGGACGAAGCAAGUGACGGUACCUGAGGAAUAAGCCACGGCUAACUACGUGCCAGCAGCCGCGGUAAUACGAAGGAUGCGAGCGUUAUCCGGAUUUAUUGGGUUUAAAGGGUGCGUAGGCGGAUUUUUAAGUCAGCGGUAAAAUGUCCGGGCUCAACCCGGGCCGGCCGUUGAAACUGGGGAUCUUGAGUGGGCGG
rnacentral:rRNA from 1 species